rnacentral:lncRNA from 1 species
GAUCAGAAGAGGACUCUCCUGACCAGCCUGGGAAAAGUCUGAGCAGAGUCUGCAGGGGCAAAUACAACUUACUCAGACAAAAAAGGCUGUCAGCAGCAAGUCUAGGCAGAAGCCAGGAGGAGUUAGGAACAGACUAUAAGAAAUGGUUGGUCUGGAGGAAAAAGGGUAAAACUUAUGAGGGCCCUUGUGAAUUGAUGAAUAUGAAGACACUAAGAAAGCAGAAAUAGAACUGAGAAGAAUGAAAUAACUGUCUCUACCUUUCUCGAAUUGUCUAAUAUGGAAAGAAUGAAAGACAGCUAAUAAGCAACUCUCUGCAAGAAGACAUAUGGCUUAGAAUCUACUUGGAGAGAGUCAAACACAGAAUCCCUUUGAAUUUAAUGGCCAUUCCAGGUGAUUUGAACAGCCAAAUAAGAAACAGGUCCUCUUCAAUGUACAAUCUGCCAAGUAUGAAGUCUGAAUGACCAUCAUUAUUAUGUAUUUAAUGUGCAUAGAAAAUCUAUCUGCAACCUUCCAGAGUGUACCAGAAGUUUGGAAUGUACAUUAUUAUUGGCUCCAUCUCAAACCACUCAUAAAUCAAAGAAAAUAGCAGUUCCAGAGGAAUCAUCAUAGAGGCUUCUAGGCCCCCAUGCUGUGUGAACCUGGUGAGAAAGGGAAGUCUGCUCUCACUGGACACUGGAACUGUUUGUCUCUGUCUCUGCUGUACUUUCCCUGCCUCUACCUCACUUAGUAAAGAAAUCAUCUUUGCUUGAUAACUAAAACAACCAAUAAGGCUGAGAAAGGGGAAAACCCACAUCUGGAUUUAAAUACAAGGUAUUGGGCCAGCUGCUGGGGAUUAAACUUUGAACAAAACAGAUAGAAUCUAUGUCCUCAUGGGAGUGGCUAAUGGGAGAGUCGGAACAAAAAAAUAGCCAAGGAUAAUCCAGCAAAUGAUUUGGUGAAUGCUAUCAAAGAGAGAAAUACACAUGCUCUGGGAACACCAAACAGAGUCUCCCUCUCUGACCCAGGCUGGAGUGCCGUGGUAUGAUCUCGGCUCACUGCAACUUCUGCCUCCCAGCUUCAAGCAAUUCUCCUGUCUUAGCUUCCCAAGUAGCUGGGAUUACAGGCGUGCACCACCACACCAGGCUAAUUUUGUAUUUUUAGUAGAGACGGGGUUUUGCCAUGUUGGCCAGGCUGGUCUCGAACCCCUGACCUCAGGUGAUCUGCCCACCUCAACCUCCCAAAGUGCUGGGAUUACAGGUGUGAGCCACUGCAUCUGGCCUCAUAUAUUUUACUAUAACAAAUCAGUGUAGGCCAAAUAAAGUUAGAAAUGGAAGCUAAUGGAAAUAAAGAAUAGGCUUUCCUGUUAGUAUCUAUAGGUGUGUGUGUGUGUGUUCGUUAUUUAGGGAAAGAAACAGGGAACUUGGGGCAUAUAAUAUUUAUGUUCCCUUAGCUUAGGCAUAUAUGGUAUAUUUAGUUACUUAAUUAAUUUUUUAUUUAGAAGUUAUGUAUAGAGCAUUUUUCCUAGGCCAGUGGGGGAUUAAACCAGAAAUAUAAGAAGUGUCUGCCUUCUGGAAGCUUGUGAUCUAGUUAGGGGUAUCACAAGUGCACAGCGUUCACCAGUGGCAGAGAAGCAUGUGAUGAGUACCCAGAGCUUAUAUUGAGAAUAAGGUAUACAAGAAUUUAGAGGAGGCCAAUGUUGAUUUUCACCAAGAGUAUGGGACAGAGAGACAAGACAGGGUUGGUCAUCUAGUUCUGUGCACUGAAUAUAAUUUUGCAGGUUUAGGAGUGUUUGAAAACUACAAGGAAGAUAGAAUCUUGGUCUUGUUCUCCAGCAUGCCCUUUCUUGAACUCACCAGGGUAAUGCUGCAUCUUUUCAGAAAUGCCUCUGGCUUCUCAAAGCAACUUUCAUCCUGGAGAGGAACAAUUAGUCUUUGUCUUUCAUUAGUAAAAGAUUUAACGGCUCAGAAGGAGAAGCUAGUGGUGACUUUUCAAUCACCCCUUCUACCUCCCAG